rnacentral:rRNA from 1 species
ACUCCUACGGGAGGCAGCAGUGGGGAAUAUUGGACAAUGGGGGCAACCCUGAUCCAGCCAUGCCGCGUGAGUGAUGAAGGCCUUAGGGUUGUAAAGCUCUUUCGUCAGGGAAGAUAAUGACGGUACCUGAAGAAGAAGCCCCGGCUAACUUCGUGCCAGCAGCCGCGGUAAU